rnacentral:misc_RNA from 1 species
AGGCGCUCUCUACUGGCCCUCUCUCUUUAUGCGUGUGUGUUCUUUAACUCCCCAUAUACACGUAUCACCACGCCUUUCUUGCGUCGUUGUGCCCCCCCCCCCCCCCCCACCAGCACUGUAGCCGGAGCAGCAGCAGCAGCGGCAACGCUAGUGUGCCACGUGUGGAUCUGCACUGCCAACGGCAUUGCAGGCGCGUAUUUUGUGGCAUCAGUAGCAAUGCAGCAACGACCGCAGCAGUACCAAGAAGAACAGCACGUGCAACUCUCACUGAACUCACUGGGUGCACUCACCUCAUACUGGCCGUCACGAGCACCGCUGGGGUUUGCCGCGGCUCAUCCACGCUGCCGCAUCGCAGCGGAGGCGCGCCUUCUUGGAACGUACAUCCACGAUGAUGCUGAGAGCGAGUACGAGGCCGCGUGGACCGACUGGGCACGCCAGGUGCCGUUUGGGGACUGGUGGGUGUCCGACUUGGCGGAGCGCAUGAUGCCAUCGAAGCGGCGGUUUGCCAGCGAAGUGCCGUUCACGGACGCUGCGGGGGAUAUCGUGGACGAUGCUCGUUGGUAUUCCGAUCACGCACCGAACACUCUCGCCGUCGCUGCGAACGCUACGUCAAGAGGAGGAGAGCGCCGUUGCGCUGCUCGGCCUCAUCCACCGGGCACUGCCAGCGCAUCGCCGUCGCGGUAUAUGCUGCCGCAGCGCCGUGCUCGCACUUACUUCGAGCACAAACAGCAGCGCGGGGUGACCGCUGCCGCUGCCAUCGCCACAGGGGCCGUGCACUCUGGCCUCGACAGCGAAGAUUCUCUGCGCGACGUUUCCUCUCUGCCUGAAUACCCCUACGCAGGCACCAACGUCCGCUGUGCGGCCAUGAGGGCUGGCUACCUGGGCGGCGUCCUGGUGGGCCACCUCGUCUCCUUCUUGGUUCGAUCCACCGCGGCCGAUGCCGGGCAGUAUAUCUCCAACCCCUCUUCGACUGUGUCCUUAUUGAGUACUGGCCUUGCGGCGCAGGAGCAUGCGCAGCUGCAGUGGCGGCGCGUGCUCCACUGGGAGGUAGGGGUGGAGCGGGAGGAGGAGCGGCGGCGCAAGCACGCGGCCGCCCCGGUUUGCAGCAACGCGUGCGAGGACGCGGCGCCAAGCUCUCAGAAAGGCGAUUAUCCUGGAGGCAGUUGGAUAUACUCGCACUGGUGGCUAAGCCGUCCUCUGGUCUUGGGUCGAGCUUGCGUGCCCUCUUCCCCACCGCCAUGCUCUCGUUUUGCCCACGAAGACAUCCGUAACCACGUCGAAGACGAUGGUAUUCACCAAGUUUCGUAUGAUCCGACGUGUGCGGCGGCAGCAGCUCCACCGUCGACGUCCCUCUACGCAUAUGGUGACCAUCCCGCUUCCCUUCCCUUGUGCAUGACGGAGGGGUGCAAUGCUUGUGCCUCAUACUCGACUCGAGGGCGGAAGACAACAGUGACCACUGCUCAGCUCCCAGGAGAAAUCACUAGACGAAUGGAUAUGCUAGUGCCGUCUCCCGCUCGGUGUGGGCAGCAGCCCCGCCGGUGCUGCUCCUCGUUCUUGUCAGCCGUGCAUCUUUACGAGUGCCAAGCACCACCGGCGCUGCCGUCGCCGUCGUUAUCCGCGACAUCUGACAACCCGGCGCAUUGGUGGAGUGCGUUUUUGCGCUGUCCAUGUUGCGCCCAUCUACGAAUACUGGACGUCAACUUCGAGGGUGCUCGGGCAAGAAAACCGGAGGGCUGGGCAAUGGUGGCUGCGCCUGUGGGCUCAGCGGGGCAAGCGACCGGGAGGGUUUCGCAUCCGUCCGCGUCGCCGCGGCUGAAACCGCUCGAUUUGCAAGCCAGCAACGAUGGCAGUGCACCAUCGGACGCACCCUCACGACGGUUUCUGUUGGAGAGACGCCAACUGCAGCGGCAGACCAUAACCAGUGGGACAGCCUGUGCUUCCUCUGCACGUCCUCACCUCCGGGCGCCGGUUUUGCGAUACGUCACAGAGGUGCACCUCACUUCGUCCGCGACGCUGCAAGACGUCGGGUUCCUCGGUGAGCUGCCCGUGCUCCGUCUCGCGGAUGUCAGCUUCAACACGAGUCUCACCGACGCCGGCGUGCACGGCCUGUGCCGGAGCACGUCGCUGCGUGUGAUUGAUGUGAGUUACUGCCCUCAAGUAGAUGCAGCCGCUGCAGAGCUGGUUCGCUGCCUCGUGGAGUUGGAAGAGCUCUACCUCUCUGGAACGGGACUAACGGAUGCCACCCUGCGGACCGUGGCGGCUCAUCUACGCUCUAGCGGUGGCACCCCGCAUGACGCAUUGCUUGUCACCGAAACUGGCGCGCCGGCAUCAGGACAAACACCUCAUUCGCCGAGGCCCGGCGGCGUGCGGCGGCUGCGUGUCCUGCACGCGUGUGCGUGUCGUCGGGUGCGCAAUCCAUACAAUGCCCUCGCCCCCAUUGCUGUGAUGCAGCGGAAUGAAAGGAGGCAGUGGCGCGGCGGUGGCGUGGCUCACGGACAGAGCUGUUGGGCAGGGCUGCAGGAACUGCGUCUCGCUGCCGUGGACAUGGGUGAGCUUCACCACGAGUCAGAUCGAAGCCGAAGCGGCAGCAGCGACGCCAGCGGAACACAGAGCGAAGAUAUAGGCAGUGAGGUCGGCGCUGCCACUGAGCGCGUGGCAGAUGCAGCGGAUGAAGGCGCAGGACUACUGUCGAGUCUACUCGAAAGAGGGCAGGGGGCGGCACUACCUCAAACUCCUGGCAGGUCGCUACCCGUUGUGUCGUCAUCUUCCCUUCCAUCGAGAGGCACCGCAGCACCAGUCGAGAAGGCGGGUGCGGCAGCAAAGGUGACGGCUACGACUGACGUGCCUCGCGCACUAACCACGCCACCGUCUCUCCUCUGGCAGCGUCUUACGACGCUUGUCUUCACAGACACCAAGUUCAGAUGCGCUCUCGGAGACGUUGGCCGGCUGCCUUUUCUGCAGUGCCUUUCGCUGUUGCGUUGCUCGGUUGAGGAGGGUGCGCGGCUCGGUGCUGGUGAAGGGGGUCAUCGACCUUGGCUCAGCGGGCUUGAGCAGAGCGCACUCCUCCACACGGUGCACCUUGACGGAUGCAGCGCGAGCGCCAUUCGAGAUGCCGGUAGUCUGCAGAUUCUUGCUCGACUGCCGUCUCUGCAGAACGUCUCUCUCUCCCACACGGAUAUCCGAGACGCCGACCUCGACGUGUUCGUGGCGGCUUUGUGCGAGAGCGGUGCCACGGCACCACAGCACCAGUUUCACCGCCUUUGCCUCCGCUCCUGCGGUCGCAUCACGAACGUUGGCGCCGUGGCCCUCUUGUCCUCCGUGCGUUUCCUCGACCUUAGCGACACGGCGGUGCGGCAGGAGGUACUGGAUGCGCUGGGGAACUCAUCUGCGGCGCAACACCCCGGUGGCUUGCAUGCCCUGCAGGCGCUGAACUGCUCCGCUUGCUCUCUUAUUCUUGACCUGAGCCCUGUGGCUCACCUGCGACACCUGCGCUGGCUUAACGUGAGCCACACGCCCCUGUCCACAGCCGCGGUGGCGGCGCUGCGCUUCUGCGCCGCACUGACACACCUGACGCUGAAGAACUGUGCUGGAGUACAUCACGUGCGUGAUGUCAUGGCGAUCGCCACGCUGGAGGUGCUCAAUGUUCAAGGGUCUGGACUGUACGACGGUGACGACGAGGAUGAGGAAGAAGGCGAGGAGGCCAUCCCAGGGGCAGAGCGAGCUACGGAGCACAGUUGGCGCCGCAGCUUCAUGCCUGGAACACCACCAUACCGCUUCAGUAAUCCUCUCGCGCACCGUGAUGACAGUCAUGCGCUGGAGGAGGGCAUCAGGAGCCGUUCCGCCGUCGCUGACGUCUUCCCGGGCGACGAUGAAGCGCUUUUCACCUCUUCUCUGCACACGCUGCUGCUGUCUCACACGCGCGUGCGACGCAUCCGUCGUCUCGGCCUGCUGCCGUCGCUGAUGUGCCUUGACCUGAACAACACAGCCGUAACGGACGCCGAGCUUGUGAAGUUCGUGUGCACUGGCGUGAUGGCGGCCGACAAGAGAGCGUCAGAUGCAAGGUCGCCACAUGCACGAAAUCCACCUGUGGUAGUUCACUCCCUUCGCGCGCGGCGUCUCGACGAGUGCGCUGGCCGAGGGUGUCGCGGGCCACCUCUGCGACUUCUCUCGCUACAGUUCUGCCGUCGCAUCUUCUCUGUCGGCGUGCUGGGGCUGUGCCCGCACCUGACAAAACUUGACGUGUCCUCGAGCAACGUCACCAGCCAAGGGCUUAUUGGCUUGCACCGCAGCACGAGCCUCGUGCAGAUGCGUCUGCUUUCCUGCAAAAGUGUGCAUGAUAUGCGCGCGCUGCAUGCCAUUCCGAGCUUGGCGGAGGUGGACGGCAGCGGAUGCAAUGUGAAUAGUGGCCGCAUCACAGGCGCCGGCGUGCGUGGUGGCAGUGGAAUCCAUGUUGCUGCCGGUGCCGUUGCUGAUGGAGGGAGGAGAGGAGCUGAGGCCAAGGAGAGCGGAGGGCGCCUGUCGCCGCUACCCCUGUUUGCCCACGGUGGAAGCGUAACACAUAUGGCGGCUCCUCUUUUGCGCUCGGACCUGCUCCAGGAGAGCGGCUCAGCUGCCGAAGACAUCGCUGCAGUGCGGCGUGCGACAGAGGGGACUUCGUUUCUCACGAUCGCGCUUUUACAGGCCAGCACGUCCCUUUCUUCUCCUCUUGGGCUUACACGUGGUUGCCAGAAGCUCGUGCUGGAUGGCUGUGUGAACAUCUGCAGCUUUUUAGAGCUCAGCAUGCUCUCCUCCUUACUGGAGCUUUCCCUCUGCAACUGCCACGGCAUUACAGCUGCGAGUGUCGCCGAGCUGAUCUCACUGUCGCAGUGGUGCUCAAGGGCAUCUGGCGCAGACUCAGCUCAAUCCGUCGUGGUAUCGUCUGUGCUGCCACUGUCUGCACCGUUUCCUUCGUUGCGCACUCUGCGCCUCUCGUCGUGUCGGAAUCUCACCGGGUCCUUGGCGGGGCUGGAGCUGCUGCCGCAACUGCGCUGCGUGCAUGCCGACCGAUGCGGGAUUACGAGUGUGUAUGAUGUCAUACCGGCCCUUCAGAGUCGCGUCGUGCUUUAGUGGCGCCGGAUACGACUUGAGCGAAAGGAGAGAGAGAGAGCAUGUGGCUCUGUGCUAAACGUCUACCCACAAGCACGCAAGCAUACAUUCUUCUCCGUCUUUGCCCCUCCGUGGUGUGGCGCUGAUCAGCAUUCACCACCUCUGUAGCUCCCUCUAUCCCCUCUUCUUGUGUCUCGCGAAGGUGCACCACUCCCGUCUCCCUCUUCCGAUGUUGUCAGGCUGGGGCUCCUGCUCUCCAGCACCGCGAGUGACGUUGCCGGAGUUUCCCCUUCGCUGCCUCUUUCGCGGAUUGCACUUCUAUGCUUGUGCCUCUUAACGAUUGCUCUUCUGGGCAAGGUGGUGUGCGCGUGGCUGCGUAUGUGCCUGCGUGAAGGAGUGCAUGUGAGCCACAGCGCUUGCUGACAUCGCACUCUCUGUUGGCUGCUCGUCUGCUUCUCCACCCCUUACCCAACUAGCACCGCCUACAUCCUCUCCCUCCACUGCCCUCAUUUGUUUUCCAUCCCCCCCCCCCCCCCAAG